AUUGAACGCUGGCGGCAUGCUUUACACAUGCAAGUCGAACGGUAACAGGCCUUCGGGCGCUGACGAGUGGCGAACGGGUGAGUAAUGCAUCGGAACGUGCCCAGUCGUGGGGGAUAACUAUCCGAAAGGAUAGCUAAUACCGCAUACGAUCUGCGGAUGAAAGCGGGGGACCUUCGGGCCUCGCGCGAUUGGAGCGGCCGAUGUCAGAUGAGGUAGUUGGUGGGGUAAAGGCUCACCAAGCCAACGAUCUGUAGCUGGUCUGAGAGGAGGACCAGCCACACUGGGACUGAGACACGGCCCAGACUCCUACGGGAGGCAGCAGUGGGGAAUUUUGAACAAUGGGCGCAAGCCAGAUCCAGCAAUGCCGCGUGCAGGAAGAAGGCCUUCGGGUUGUAAACUGCUUUUGUACGGAACGAAACGGCUCUGGUUAAUACCCGGGGCUAAUGACGGUACCGUAAGAAUAAGCACCGGCUAACUACGUGCCAGCAGCCGCAGUAACAC
rnacentral:rRNA from 1 species